rnacentral:rRNA from 1 species
UAGAGGAAGUAAAAGUCGUAACAAGGUUUCCGUAGGUGAACCUGCGGAAGGAUCAUUAACGAAUUAUAAUGCUGAGGUUGUAGCUGGCCUUUCAAUCGAGAGGCAUUGUGCACGCCUUGGUUAUUCCAAAUUCUUAUACCUCUGUGCACUUUACAUGGAAGCAUUUUACUUUAGUUGUAUGGAAAGGGGUCGACUCUUAACUGAGUUGAACCCAAGUAAGUCGACUGAGUGGAACACUUCUGUGGUUCAUACAUUUAUACCAGUCAGUUUAGAAUGUUAACACCGCGUAUAACGCAAACUAUAUACAACUUUCAGCAACGGAUCUCUUGGCUCUCGCAUCGAUGAAGAACGCAGCGAAAUGCGAUAAGUAAUGUGAAUUGCAGAAUUCAGUGAAUCAUCGAAUCUUUGAACGCACCUUGCACUCCUUGGUAUUCCGAGGAGUAUGCCUGUUUGAGUGUCAUGGUAUUCUCAAUUCUAAUAACUUUUGUUAUUCGGAAUUGGACUUGGAGGUUUUUUGCCGGUGCUUCGGCGGCUGGCUCCUCUUAAAUGCAUUAGUGUGAAUCAAGUUACACAUUACUCAGUGUGAUAAUUAUCUGCGCUGUGUUUCAAUGUUGACUUUAUAAGUGUUCAUGCUUAUAACCCGUCUGUUGACUCAGACACUUUACUAUGAAAUCUGACCUCAAAUCAGGUAGGACUACCCGCUGAACUUAAGCAUAUC